rnacentral:rRNA from 1 species
AUACGUAGGGGGCGAGCGUUGUCCGGAAUGAUUGGGCGUAAAGGGCGCGUAGGCGGCCUGUUAAGUCUGGAGUGAAAGUCCUGUUUUCAAGAUGGGAAUUGCUUUGGAUACUGAUGGGCUUGAGUGCAGGAGAGGUUAUCGGAAUUCCCGGUGUAGCGGUGAAAUGCGUAGAGAUCGAGGAACACCAGUGGCGAAGGCGGGUAACUGGACUGCAACUGACGCUGAGGCGCGAAAGUGUGGGGAGCAAACAGGAUUAGAUACCCUGGUAGUCCACACUGUAAACGAUGAAUGCUAGGUGUAAGAGGUAUCGACCCCUUUUGUGCCGGAGUCAACACAAUAAGCAUUCCGCCUGGGGAGUACGGCCGCAAGGUUGAAACUCAAAUGAAUUGACGGGG